rnacentral:tRNA from 1 species
ACUUUUAAAGGAUAGUAGCUAUCCAUUGGUCUUAGGAACCAAAUAUUUUGGUGCAACUCCAAAUAAAAGUA